rnacentral:rRNA from 1 species
UACGUAGGGGGCUAGCGUUGUCCGGAAUCAUUGGGCGUAAAGAGCGUGUAGGCGGUCCGGUAAGUCCGUUGUGAAAGUCAGGGGCUCAACCCUUGAAUGCCGGCGGAUACUGUCGGGCUAGAGUCCGGAAGAGGCAAGUGGAAUUCCCGGUGUAGCGGUGAAAUGCGCAGAUAUCGGGAGGAACACCUAUGGCGAAGGCAGCUUGCUGGGACGGUACUGACGCUGAGACGCGAAGGCUAGGGGAGCGAACGGG